rnacentral:rRNA from 3 species
GGGUUGUGAGGUUAAGCGACUAAGCGUACACGGUGGAUGCCCUGGCAGUCAGAGGCGAUGAAGGGCGUGCUAAUCUGCGAUAAGCGCCGGUAAGGUGAUAUGAACCGUUAUAACCGGCGAUACCCGAAUGGGGAAACCCAGUGUGAUUCGUCACACUAUCAUUAACUGAAUCCAUAGGUUAAUGAGGCGAACCGGGGGAACUGAAACAUCUAAGUACCCCGAGGAAAAGAAAUCAACCGAGAUUCC